GGGGUCAUUGGACGAUCAAGAAGGCUCAUGGCCUAGGCUGGUGACCUCCAUUAAACUUUGGAGGGGCGCCCACCUAAGGUCGAAAAAAAAAAAGCUAC
rnacentral:snRNA from 1 species